UGCUUUGGGAGAACAUGGGCUAUCUUUUUAUCUUUUUUUAGGUGGGUAGUAGAUACCCCUAAUUCUACUGUCGGACACUUGUCCAUUUUUUCCGCUCAAGUGGGCAUCUUUGUACCCCUAAUUCUACUUCGGACACUUGUCCAUUUUUACCUCUCAUCUCACUCUUUUUCUUUCUUUUCCGAGGUUCCGGGCACUUGCCCCUUUUUAUUUCCUCGUAUAUUUUUGCAUAACCCAUGCCUCUUCUGCAUUGAAUCUUUUUAGAGAGAGGGAAUAACAAUACUUGGGACAGUGAGUGAUAAUAUUUUUAGCAAUUUUAAUGAAUGGUGGUGGAUGCUGUGGUAGAUGUGUGCAAGUGAAUAUCUUAAUUUAACCACAUGAAAAGCUCCUAAGGGUCGACACAGCUCGAUCAAACUCAAUGUAAAUAUAGUAAAAGAUGUUAUAGCAAGUAUGGCUAUGGUAGGUAGUUUGUUAUGCUAGGAACUCAUCAUGUGAUUUGUAAGUUUUCAAAAUAAAUCUCCAGAACUUAGUGUAGUAGGAACAAGAUAAACAGUGGCUCAACUUUAUAUCAUGCCUUUCUCUUACCUAGACUUUAGUUUUAUGCUUCCCAUAGAUAGUGAUUUUAGUUUUAGUAAUUCCUGGAAGAACUCUAAUAUAAAAGCUAGGUACUUGUAAGUAAGCAAACAGAGCAACUGUUCAUCAUUUCCAUCAUGCAUAUUUUUGGUCUUAUUAUUUUUUUUCUAGAGAUUAAACUUAGCAGGAAAAUAAAGCACACUUAUCUACUCUUUUUAUUUUGUUUUCAUGUUUAUACAAUGCAGUAAAUUAAGAAAAUAUUUAUUUGGUUUUCUAAGUUUUUUUUCUUUUA
rnacentral:lncRNA from 1 species